CAUGUAAACCGAAAUUAAUUUGCUGUUGUUUGAAUUGGGCAGAUGAAAGACAUGACAUGUGAAGAACUUGUAAAAGAAGUUGCUAAAAUAAUUUAUGUUGUACACGAUGAGGUCAAAGACAAAAACUUUGAACUGGAAUUAAGCUGGAUAGGAGAAGUUACCAACGGUAAACAUCAAUGGGUACCAAAGGAGAUAGCCGAGGCAGCUGAAAAAUAUGCUAAGGAAUCACUUGAAGAGGAAUCUAGUUCAGAAGACGAGGAUUAAGAUCAACGUUCACCGAGUUUUAUUGCACGAGCCUUACAAACAGGCAGCGUUUGAAACAGAGAAAGACUGAGAUCAAGACCUGUAGAGACCAUCGUCGCCUUGUCUAGCUUCAUUUCAUCAAUGUGAUGUUUGUGUAACAUAUUUUGUAGUAUUUUCAACCCUAGAAAUAAACAUUAAGAUUGGAAAUGUUUAAUUGCA